UACGUAGGGUGCAAGCGUUAAUCGGAAUUACUGGGCGUAAAGCGUGCGCAGGCGGUCCGUUAAGACAGAUGUGAAAUCCCCGGGCUUAACCUGGGAACUGCGUUUGAAACUACAAGGCUAGAGUGUGGCAGAGGGGGGUGGAAUUCCGACGUGUAGCAGUGAAAUGCGUAGAGAUGUGGAGGAACACCGGUGGCGAAGGCGGGUCUCUGGGCAGUAACUGACGCUGAGGAGCGAAAGCGUGGGGAGCGAACAGG
rnacentral:rRNA from 1 species